rnacentral:sRNA from 2 species
AUCUAUCACUGCUAAUCUAUUGCUGCUGUCAAUCUAUCUACUGCUGUCAAUCUAUCUAUUACUGUCAAUCUAUCUACCACUGCUAAUCUAUCACUGCUAAUCUAUUGCUGCUAAUCUAUUGCUGCUAAUCUAUCUAUCACUGCUAAUCUAUCACUGUCAAUCUAUCUACCGCUGCCAAUCUAUCUACCACUGCCAAUCUAUCUACUGCUGCCAAUCUAUCUACCACUGCUAAUCUAUCACUGCUAAUCUAUCGCUGCUAAUCUAUUGCUGCUAAUCUAUUGCUGCUAAUCUAUUGCUGCUAAUCUAUCUAUCACUGCUAAUCUAUUGCUCUCAAUCUAUCUACUGCUGUCAAUCUAUCUACCACUGCCAAUCUAUCUACCACUGCUAAUCUAUCACUGCUAAUCUAUCACUGCCAAUCUAUAUAGAGUAAAUCAUGGUUUCAUUUGAUCCCAUUUUGUAAAAUGAGAUCAAAUGGAACUGAAAUCACUAAUUUAUUAGUAAAACAUGAUCUGAGACUAGAUUUAUAAUAUAAACAGUGUAAAGUGACUAAUUUACUAAACACUAUAUAAAAUCAGGAC